CUAAGCUUGCUUCAUUCGAAA
ensembl:piRNA 21ur-475 ncRNA